GGGGAUAUAGCUCAGUUGGUAGAGUGCUUGCCUAGGGUUCAAUCCCCAGCAAUAAUAAUAAUAAUAAUAAUAAUAAUAAUAAUAAUAAACAAAUAAAACCUGAUUAGGAAAGUUCAUUGUCUCAAAAUCAAGUUUCCCUU
rnacentral:tRNA from 1 species